ensembl:lncRNA
GAAAGAACGUGAUUUUCUCCGUGCUCAAGUCCAGGGGGGGAUAAAGAAGACCUCAAACCAUCCCAGAAUGUCGAAGCUGACAGUCGAUGAUCAGGAUGAUGAUACCGACAUGGAAGAUAAAGAUGACCUUCCCCCAUCCUCCACAAAUAUUAGCGACACUUCAGACAGCGACACUCCAAGACACAAGCCUCAUCUGCCCCGGUCAUCUCCAGGGGCCACUGGGAGAGCUCAUAUGAGAGGCAAAGCAGAACGACACACGCUCUCCCAGCUGAUCCCCUCACGUCAAAGGGCCAGAUGAGGCAAUCCGGAGAUACAAUAAAGUGCUGAAAACAUUCAGCCAUGUCCGCACCAUGACGGAGGCC